AUGACACCUUGUGGUAUCGGUAUGAACUUGUAGCUUGGGCUAAACAUGAUAAAUCGUUUCAUGCAAAACACGGUGAUACUUGUUUGAUCCCCGUUAUUAUCGAUUUGUUUCAUUCACUCUGACACCUAGUGGCGUCGGUAUACACUUGUAGCUUGGGCUAAUCUUAAUCGAUCGUUUCAUGCAAAACUAUGUAUGCUUUUCGUUUGACUAAUCACUUAAGUAGUCUUAGUGCAACUAUGUAUUAAGACGAUGAUACACCAGGUUCGGUUGUAUUUCAUUUCGGUGUAUCCUUGCAACUUGUUAACGUCAACACGUUGAUUUGAUUCAUUUAUUGGUUCAAUAGUUGACGAAUCAUUUUCAUGUUUCUAUUUCAAUGAAUUUGCUAAUUCCGUGUUUCAUUUCCAAAACAACCAACGCAAGUUUCCAUUGGUAGUGAAUCCUGUUGUUUCAAAAAUUGAUUUACAUAUCAUGAACGUCUAUUUGGAAUUUUAUUGGUCGAAAUUCCCAUUUUGUUGGACCACCGUAAACAUAAUCACAUUGGUGAUAGUAUCACAAUGCUUCGUUCACUUGAUAUUCGUUCACUUGAUAUCGAUCUCUGGAACAAACUUAGUUGAUUCGUUGGGUUCUUAUCGAUGCAAAAUGUCUUUGCAUUCACGUAAUCUGAAUACGUUUUGAUUCAAUUACGCGGUCAUUCACUUUGGUAUUGUUCGGACUUACCUAGGAAAGACAUAACUCUAUGAAGAUAACAUAGAAUAAAUUUCGAGGACGAAAUUUCUGCAACAGGGGGAGAAUGUGACAACCGGUAAUUAACGGCUUCUAAUUACGCGAUUAACCAACAUUUAAGGCGAUAAUAAAUAAUGUUUAAGACACGAAUUAAUUUAAUUAGGAUUUUGUAAUGCCUAGGAGCGCCUACACGACUUUACAGUACGCGAAUGAUAAUCUGCAAAGAAACUGCGUAACGCUAAACGAUAACGAACUGAUGUCGUACAAAAUACUGACCUCACCGACAAAUACGAAUUUUAUACGUAUAUUUUAUACCUAUGAGUUUGGUUUUGCGAAUUUAUAGCGCUAUCGAAUGUCACAAAGCGAAAACAUGAACGAAGAUGCGGAAACAGUAACGCGCAGACAAUCAACGAUGAAACGGAAGCACCGGACAAGAAUUUUUGUCGCAAUAAUAAUAUAUUAUGAUAUAUUGAACGUCGUUUUCAAAUUUUAAUAUCCGUAGUCGAAACCGGAUUGAAAAACGAAUUAAAGCGGCAACGACACAAUUUUACGCGACUUUUAGCGUAAGCGACGAACGAGAGCGUCAAAUGCGACAAUCGACACUGUUUUGCGUCUUCUUAUUUUAAAACAAUAAUUUACGACAUUUUUACGACGUUCGGGUUUUGAUAACGGGUCUCGUAGGAAUUACGGGUCACUUAAAACACGCGAUUGGGCUUGCGGGCCUUGGGCCCAAGCCCAAAGCCCACUAACUAACCCUAGUAUAUAUUUGUAGUGAUGAAGCUUAUUGACAAUUGAACCCUAAAAAUCACACAAGCACACACAUCUGCUUUUCCUUUUCCUUCUCAAACCCUCUCUUCCAUAAGACCUCCCUUUCUCUCAAAUAUGUAUACAUAACAAAAGCCAAACACCCUCUCGUCUUCUACCAGCAACCUUUUAUCCCCUUCCUUUGUUAAUACUCAUUCACCAAACAAACAAAACCCCUCAUCUAUCAAAGGAACAGGCCAACCACGACUGUGGAGGCGGUGUACGGCGGUGGUGGAUCCCCACAAGCACGACAUCAGCGGCAACCACCCCCCCCCUGUUACAGAAUCAACGGCCGGCCACCAUCCUUGGGUGGUGGCGCAUGGCGGCGGCGCGAUGACAAGGUCCGAGAGGCAGAGAGAGAAAGAACGAGAGGAGGGAGAGAACGAAGGGAGCCGACUGUUGACCUUUCCGUUGACCAGAAUCGGGCGGCGACGAGCGACGAAUUCCGAUGGAUACAUUUUCACGUUCCAAAGCGUGUUCGGUCAGUUUUGGGUGAUGACUUUGGCGAUGGUUGUAGCUCAAACGGGUCACGUGGGUGUGGGUUGGACGGAUCCACGGUUACGUGAUAGAUCUUAGUGGUUUUGAUGCUUUCGGUUCCCGGUCAACUGAGUCAACGCAAUGAGUUGACAGCUCAAACCUGGUCAACGCUAGUCAAACAUGGUUUUGGGUCAGUUUCGCAUUGCAAGAAAACCAAGUUGCUCGGAUUUUAUUUUGGUUCGGUUCGAGAUCGGUCAAACGUGGUCAAACAUCAACUCAGUUCGGGUUAACGCCGGUCAACAACAGUCAACUGCAGACCCGGUAAAGUUUAUUGGCGCGGAUUUUUCGUCUUAUCAUUUAUAUAGUUUAUAUCUCUACGCGAACCGAGCUCGAACCUUUAGCGAUUACAUAACGUUUAUGCAUUAUUGAUUCUUUAGAGUUUGAUAUAUUUUGACUAAAACUAUAUAUCGUUAUUACAUUGGUUUGAAAUAUUAUUUGAUUGUUGAGUUUUGACAAAA